rnacentral:tRNA from 1 species
CGCCCGGUAGCUCAGUGGCAGAGCGGCCGGCUCUUAUCCGGCUGGACGCUGGUUCGAGCCCAGCCCGGGCGG